GAGGAGUCUGGAAUGAACCAAAAGAUUUGUAGACCAACAGAUGCCGUCUGCUUUUCCGUUACACUGACCGAGUCAACUCGAAUAGGACAAGUUAGAUGAAACUGUAAAGUAUGAAGUUACAGAGGGGGCUUUUAGGGGAGAAGGAGAAGGCAGCUGCAUCGAGGAGGAGAUAAGGUUCCAAGACUAAAAACCCUUCUCCGUAGUCCUUCAUUUCUACAAAACAUAAAAUUCCCCUUUGAAGAAAACACAAAUUUGCAAACAAUAGGUCAUUUUGAGAAGGGCGGUUCAAACGAAAUUGCGACCUGGAAAGGAAGCGACAGUCCGAGUUUCAGAAGUUGCGAAAUAAGGCAAAACUUUUGGUGAGGGUGGAAUCAGGAAUGGCGUGAAAUCCCUAAUCAAAUCAUCUUCCUCACACCGCCAAAUGGAUGCAGAGUACUUGUAGUAUGAGGCUGGCGGGGAUGGAGGACACGGCGGAGCUGCUGGAGAAGAAGCAAGCGUCGGAAAUUUUGAAGAUGAGCUUAGAGGAGGCACUCACUCUCGCUCGUGCUUUCAGCCAUUACCUCAAAUUGAUGGGCAUUGCUGAAGUUCAUCACAGAGUUUGUUUGUUGGAAUGAAGAAGCAAUCACCAGAUGCACUUUCUUCUCAUCCCAAGUAAUAUUUGUUCUUUCAAGCAAUGGUAGAUUUUCUACUCAAGAGUUUUAAAUAUGUAUCUCAUUAUCUGGUUUACUAGGGGUUGAGGAAAUUAUUUGGUCAGUAUCUUCUAAAGUUGGUAUUUUUUCCCCAAGUUUUCUUUUGAACGUUUGCCAUUGUUGUCUUUUCAAAAUAAUGUUGAUCUAAUAUGCUUACUUAGGACUACAUGCAUAUAGCCAUGCAUAUCGCCUGAGCGUAACUAAUUAAUACAGAGACUUAGAAUAUUCUUAUUCUGGAAUAAGCCUUGGCUGGCUAGCUAUUCUUCGCAUAUGUCCUGACCUAUAAGGAACCUUAUUAAAAAGGAAUAUGAGGUCUGCUAGCUCCUUCAUAUCAGCAAAAGUAUUGUGUAGGCUUUGUUUCUUCAGUUUCUUUUUGGGUUUAGCUGUCUUCUUCCUGUGCCAAGCUUCUUAACUUUGCUUCGGAUUUCCAUUUUCAUUUGUUUGUUUUAUUGUGUUUAGUAACUUUUAAGGAGGUGAAUCUCAACUGGAUAAUCUCAUUAGGCACCAGAAGAUUGUAUCUUUCUGGCGAGUCCCUGUUAUCUUUUGUAUCGUAAGGAUCAAAGAACAUGCAGUUUUAUAUCAAUCACUUAAUCUUCAGGGCUGGGGGCCGUGCAUGGGCUGGGCGGGGCUGCAAGGGUUGAGCAGGGCAUAUGCGUGAGCUAGCGAGGCUAAUGGACUCGCGGGGCUGGGCAAGCUUUGCGCAGGCGGGGUGUAGGCCGUGUGUAGCGAGGCAGACUUGCCCGAGCUCCAGGUUUUGCAGCUAUUGGAGAACAACUUCACUGGGUCUAUUACUCAAGGAGCUCUGCAUCUUGAUUCAAAUGGGUGAGAACUUUCUAAAUGGGUCGAUUCCUAAAGGUUUCUUUGGUUGCCCAAACUCACUCAAGUGGAGCUGCACGAGAUCGUCUGGGUCAGGGACUAAAUUACCUCAAUCUCUCAAUAAACCAUCUUGUGGGGAACAUGCCAUCUACCCUUUCGGCAAUAGAGAUAUACUUGGCAAAAAUCAAUUUCCCAGUUCUGCUUGAAACCUCCUUCGCUGGAAGUAGAACCACUUUUGAAAAGUUCUUCCUUUAUUUACUCCUCCUCUCUUGAUCCUAUAAAGGAAGUUCUUACUGUGGCCAUACCUCAUUUGCAACAAAGCUAUUUCUAAACUACUAUUUGAUUAGACUACUGCAAAAUUCUCAAUCAACCUUCAUUUCAUGGAUAUCAACAGAACAAACAAUUAAAACCUCAUGAAGUAAUCCAAAAGAAAUUAAAGAUAUAGUUGAUGCUCCGCCGCUUCCGGCCUUGUCAUUCUCACCGCACAGGGAUAAGAUACUGUUCUCAAGCGGAGAGUUUUGCCACCGUUGACAGAACUUGCAAGACCAGAGGAGAAUUUUGCUGGUGUUCGGAUUGAUGAAAAAUGCAAUACAAGGACUCGGAUGUCGUUUUAUACUGGGAUUGGGAUUCAUCAAUUGUUGUUGGUGUUGGUGAGUAAUGAGGUUGGGGUGGUGAGGUGGCGGGGAGUGGAGAACGGGUCGUCGAUGUCACUGGCGGCGCUUGAGGUGGAGGCGAGCUUGAGGGCAUAGAGUCAUAGACGAUGUAAGUGACGGAGACGAAUAGGAUGAGCCAAGACGAGAAGUUUCGGGGUGGCUCCGCAUCUGAUCUCAAACCAUAUGAAGUACCAAUUUUACCCUUCAAAAAUUAACGCCAUUGACGAUAUUACUGUUGCCAGGUACAGAAAUUGGGUCGGGUUGAAAUCUUCAGGUACCAUUUUGAUGUUUUUUAAAGUAUAGGUACGAAAAUUAAUAGUCUGGAAAAGUUCAGACACUGUUUGGACGAUUUUCCCUUUAUUUUUUCACAAUGAUAGGGAAGCUAACAUUGAACCAGCAAUGUCAUCACAUACGGUGCACAACCCAACAAGCAGAAAACUGACUGAAGCAGCAUGUCAUUGCAAUUCUUGCUCCACUUUUUGUUUAGAUAUUACUGGAGCAAGCAAUUUUUUGAUAGGCUAACACGUUUUGUUUAUAUACACCUAGACCAACUAGAACAACUACUUUUUGGAAAAUAUUCCAGCAACAACUGUAAAUAAGUAAACCUUGGAUAGCCUAUUUUUUGAACACUCCACUAUGAUAAGAUCAUCCUUUGUUUUAGAUGAUCUACAGUAAUGAAAACAGUUCUAUCAUUUAUACUCA